CCUGUUAAACCCGGCGUAGUAAUGUACAACGCUGUUAUUGAUGGGUUAUGUAAAGAUGGGCUUGUGACUGACGCUAAGAACUUGUUUCCCAAGAUGAUUGCACUAGGAAUAUCUCCUAAUGUUGUCAGUUACAGCUCCCUUAUUCACGGUUUUUGCUGUGCCAGUCACUUAGAAGAAGCUACACAAUUGUUGAGUGAAAUGGUUAAAAGCAGCAUCAAGCCAAACAUAUAUACCUUUAGUAUAUUAAUUGAUGCUUUAUGUAAAAAAAGAAGAGCUGGAGAAGCCCAAAAGAUAUUUGAUAUGUUGUUGGAAAGUGGCCAUAAGCCUAAUGUUGUCACUUACAAUUCUUUGAUUGCUGGUUACUUUCUAAUCAAUAAAGUGAAUGAGGCAGCAAAGUUAUUUGACCGCAUGAACAAAGCAGGUUUGAUACACGAUGCUUACAGUUAUAACAUCAUGAUUCAUGGAUAUUGCAAGAACAAAAUGGUGGAUCAAGCGAUGAGUCUCUUUAAAGAAAUGCGUCACAAAAGUUUAAGUCCAGAUAGUAUAACUUACAGUACCCUUCUUGAUGGAUUAUGCAAAUCAGGGAGAAUAUCAUGCAUACAGAAUCUUCUUGAUGAAAUGCACGAAAGUGGACAACCCCCUAAUUUAAUCACUUACAAUAUAUUGUUAGAUGCUUUAUGCAAAAUCCAACAUCUUGAUGAAGCAAUUGCACUAUUUCAUAAAAUUGUUGACAAGGGGCAUCGUCCAGAUUUGUACAUGUGCACUAUUCUUUUGAAUGGUUUGUGCAAAUGUGGAAGAGUAAUGACUGCAAGUAAGUUUUUCCAGCUGCUCUUGAUCAACAAUUAUUGUCUAGAUGUUGUGACCUACAAUACUAUGAUACGUGGGCUUUCUAAAGAGGGCUUGAUUGAUGAAGCAAUGGUGUUAUUUUCAAAAAUGAAAGAAAAUAGUUGCCUUCCAAAUGCUGCAACUUAUGAAACACUUAUUCGAGCCCUUCUUGUUAGAAAUAAGAAUGAGCAAGCAGUAAAGCUUCUUCGUGAAAUGAUCAGUAAAGGUCUACUAAUGGGCAGUAGUAAUGAGGAUUCCAAGUUUAUGACUCCCCGUGAGGUGGGACAGAUUCUUGAAUGGGAAUCUCGCUCUUCCAACCAGAUGACGAGUGUCGAGUGAUGUGUAUUAUCUCGUAUUUCCAUAUCCUUAGGUUGAUAAAGAUAAGGAUUCUUUGAUAUAAUGCAAAAUAUUGAGAGGGAAUGGUCAAGUCAUAGAUGGCGAUCAAGGGUCGAUUAUACUCAUAAAGAACUGCCACUAAAAGCAUAACGUAGCAUACAAGGGACUAACCGCUGAAUACUGGCCAUAAUCUUCAACUAUUAUUUGUUUCUUUCUAGAGCAUUUUCCCUAACCUGAAGCAAGUUUAAAGGGGGAUAAAUAAUCAUAUAAAUGUUAUUUUUAGACUAUACUCUUUGUUGCUCUAUGCCUCUAUGUAACUUUAGGUCAUAGAUUGAAACUGUGAAAACGACUACUGAUAUAAUUAUCAAGUUAUGCUGUGUAUAUUAUACUUUUUGGGUGCAGUUCUUUCCUAAAUCCUGCUUUAUUUCAGUAAU